rnacentral:rRNA from 1 species
UGGGGAAUAUUGGACAAUGGGGGCAACCCUGAUCCAGCGAUGCCGCGUGUGUGAAGAAGGCCUGCGGGUUGUAAAGCACUUUAGUUGGGGAGGAAAGGUAUGUACUGCAUAAGUGCAUGCUGUGACGUUACCCAAAGAAUAAGCACCGGCAAACUCUGUGCCAGCAGCCGCGGUAAUACAGAGGGUGCAAGCGUUAUUCGGAUUUACUGGGCGUACAGGGAGCGUAGGCGGUUCGGUAAGCCCUUUGUGAAAUCUCCAGGCUUAACCUGGAACAGUCGGAGGGGACUGCCGGGCUAGAGGACGGGAGAGGAGCGCGGAAUUCCCGGUGUAGCGGUGAAAUGCGUAGAGAUCGGGAGGAAGGCCGGUGGCGAAGGCGGCGCUCUGGAACGUUUCUGACGCUGAGGCUCGAAAGCGUGGGGAGCAAACAGGAUUAGAUACCCCAGUAGUCCCUGAGCGGGCUGGCAAGGCGCAU